rnacentral:rRNA from 1 species
CCUACGGGUGGCAGCAGUAGGGAAUUUUCGGCAAUGGGGGGAACCCUGACCGAGCAACGCCGCGUGAAGGAAGAAGGCCUUCGUUCUGUAAACUUCUGUUAUCAAGGAAGAAAGACGGAUGGAGGAAAUGACAUCCGAGUGACGGUACUUUAUGAGACAGCCCCGGCUAACUACGUGCCAGCAGCCGCGGUAAUACGUAGGUGGCAAGCGUUAUCCGGAAUUAUGGGGCGUAAAGAGGGAGCAGGCGGCAGCAAAGGUCUGUGGUGAAAGACUGGAGCUUAACUUCAGUAAGGCAUAGAAACGGGGCGGCUGGAGUGCAGGAGAGGAGCGUGGAAGGCCGGGUGUAGCGGUGAAAUGCGUAGAUAUAGGGAGGAACACCAGUGGCGGAGGCGACGAGCUGGGCUGGAACUGACGCUGAGUCCCGAAAGCGUGGGGAGCAAAUAGGAUUAGAUACCCUUGUAGUC